rnacentral:lncRNA from 1 species
UUUUUGGGAAGCCUGGGGGAGGAGAGACAGCUCUGUUCCGUUUUUGUUUCUGGUGAAGAGUGUGGGGAUUUUCGUCUUGGCUUCAAAUCCGUCCAAGCAGCACAGCGGGUCAAAAUCUCCUGCAGGUCCUCAGAUUACCAGUGACUAAACUGCACCUAGGCAGACCAGCCAUGAGAGCCACUCAGCAGGACUUCGAAAAUGCAAUGAACCAGGUGAAACUCUUGAAGAAGGACCCAGGAAAUGAAGUGAAGCUGAGACUGUAUGCGCUGUAUAAGCAGGCCACAGAAGGACCCUGCACUAUGCCUAAACCAGGUGUGUUUGACUUUGUCAAUAAAGCCAAGUGGGAUGCAUGGAAUGCUCUGGGCAGCCUACCAAAGGAAACUGCCAGGCAGAACUAUGUGGACCUCGUAUCCAGUUUGAGUUCCUCAUCUGAAGCCUCGAGCCAGGACUUGAAUGGCACAUACUUCUCUGAGCCUUUUCCUGGAUUAACUUAGCAACUAUGAUGAGAUUGCUUCACAGCACUGAUAAAUAGAACUUUUCAUAAAUCAAGCCUUAAGAAUUCAUGUCUGGGGCUGGAAAGAUGGCUCAGUGGUUAAGAGCACUAACUGCUCUUCUAGAGGUCCAGAGUUCAAAUCCCAGCAACCACAUGGUGGCUCGCAACCAUCUGUAAUGAGAUCUGAUGCCUUCUUCUGGUGUGUCUGAAGACAGCUACAGUGUACUUACAUAUAAUAAAUAUUAAAAAGAUUUUAAAC